rnacentral:miRNA from 1 species
UUCUAUUAGGUUGGUGCAAAUGUCAUUGUGGUUUUUGCUGUUGUUUUUAAUGGCAAAAACUGAGAUGACAUUUGCACCAACCUAAUA